GCCUUCUUCCGCGCGCCCCCGGGGCCGGCGGAGCCAGCCAGCCAGGCUGGUCGCCCCCUUCCCCGGCUGGUAAACCUCCCGAGCCUGGUCCGUAAUUACUGCUUGCUCGAGGCCACUGUGUUCCGAUGCUGUGCGCAUCCUCCAGACAAGGAAGGGUACUCCAGGGGGUUUCUUUACAAAUCGAAGAGUUUUUGAGUCAUCUCCUCACAUGGAUUCAGAGCACUCUAAAGGGGAAUUAAACAGAUCUAAGAAGAGUGGCUCAACCCCCCUUCACUCUUCCAGCCUGAGAGAUAAUGUUGAAGGACGUCCUUGGUAAGCCAAGGUUAAACAUUCUUGCUUUCUCCAUCAAAAACUCCACGUCUUAAUAUUUUUCCUGCCCAAGACAAGGUACGAUUCAGACCAGAAAAGAAAAAAAAAAUGUGGAGAGAAGUGACGCAAGGGUCUAUAUAAUCCAUUGGAUACUCUUCUGGACGUUAAGGGGGACUUCCUCCACUGCCUGUGUCUUUUUCAUUUGGCUUCCCAUAGAAGGCUUCUGGUCAGGAAGCAGGGAGUUCAACUUCAAGGCCUCCACAUCCGUUCAUCGGGUUAGAAGAUUGAAGCGGGAUGGUGCUGGGCUGAAAUCCAGGUGCUGGCAGAAGCAUCCUCCGUCUCCAAGCGCCGCAGCAGAACCUACUUCCUCCUUGCUUGAUCAGUUUCCAGGUGCCGUCUGAAUUCUUGGCUCCGGCUCCUCCACUGUCUUUAAAGUGCAUCACUGGCCCUCCGCUUCUGCGGGCCUCUCUCCUCCUGUCUGAGCUUGAUUUUCCCGACCCCCCUGCUCCAGGGUGUCUUACGAUUGCACAAGGCUCACACGGAUAAUCUAGGAUAAUGUCCUCAUUUCAGAAUUCUUAAUUGCAUUUGCUGAAUCCCUUUACCAGGUAAAGCAACGUAGUCACGGGUUCUAGAAAUGAGAAUGUGGGCACGUUUGGGGGCCUUGUUUUUCGGUCUACUAUAAUCUGCACGUCUAAUCGGACAGCCGCACAGGGCAGCGAUCUUUCCCCCAGCAGAUGGGAGUCUUUCUCGCUGCUUUUCAAUGCGCUCACCUGGGUCCUCAUAAAGCCCACGAUCCUCUCCUCUCAGGCAUGAGCUCUGUUCGUACCUGACGGAUUCUGUGACUUAUCAGGUGUCUCUGGCCUUUCUUUUCUCUCUCAGGCUCUUCUGUUGCUGCUGCUCGGUCUCAUCUACCUCCAUUCUGAGGGUCUGGAAAAUCCUUCUGACAUAGUUUAGUCGAAGGCCUUCUUUCUUCCUUCAUGACCCUGCUUGUUAAACUCACUCUCUUUUUUGAUGGCUUGGGAAGAUGAAGCGAAACUAUACUACACAUGUAUGUCAUUGCCAAAGAAUAAAGGACAAAAAAAUAAAACUGUUAGCUCCAUAUACUUGAAA